ensembl:lncRNA
GCCGUUCAGAUGUUAUCCCGCAAACCUGUUUUCGAGAGUUGUCAGAAAAUUUGCCUUUGAGAUGGCAGUGCACUUCAGCUGCCCAUUCCCUGCAUCCUGGUCGAGGAAGAGCAUGGCGGGGAAGGACUGGUUCACCUCCUUCAUGGAGCGCAGUGGCAGCCUCUCCCUUCGGCGUCCAGAGGCCACUAGCCAACAACGGUUGUCAAAUUUCAACCAAAGAAAUGUCAACUUGUUCCACCAAAAUUUAAAGACGGUGCUGGACCGGCACCAGUUCCAGGCCAAGGACAUUUGGAACAUUGAUGAAACCGGGGUCACCACUGUCCAGGUGCCAGACCGUGUCGUCGCCCAGAUGGGGCAGAAGCAGGUCGGGUCAGUGACCUCAGCGGAGAGGGGGACCCUGGUCACAGUUGCCCUGGCAGGAAAUGCGCAAGGUGACCUUGUUCCGCCAUUCUUCAUCUUCCCCCGUAAGCGGUUCAAAGACCACUUCCUGAGGGGUGGACCCGUUGGCUAUGCUGGCACCGCCAACCCAACUGGAUGGAUGAAGGAGCCAGACUUCCUCCUGUACCUGGCCCACUUCACCAGUCACACCCGUGUGUCCAAGGAGUCGAAGCUGCUCCUCCUGCUGGACAAUCACCCGUCCCACCUGUCAAUUGCAGCAAUUGAUUACUGCAGAGCCAAUGGCAUAGUGCUGCUAUCAUUCCCUCCCACUGCACCCACAGGUUGCAGCCAAUGGACAUUAGUGUCUUCGGCCCCCUAAAGGGGUACGUAAACAGUGCGGCGGACAGGUGGAUGAGGAGCCACCCAGGGAUAAACAUCUCAAUUUAUGAUGUGCCCUCCAUCGUUGCUGAAGCCUUUCCAAAGGCUGCAACAGUGAACAACAUUACCUCCGGGUUCUCAAGUCCAGGGUCUGGCCUUUUAACCCCUCUGCAUUUGAGGAAAAGGACUUCGCCGGAGCCUAUUCAACAGACCGUCCUCCUCCCCAGGCUUCGGGUGACGAGGUCAGCGCUUCUCCAGGUGCCACUUCAGGCAUGGAUGUACCUGAUCGAGCUGCCGGGCCUGAAGAAGCUGCCGGGCCUGAUCGAGCUGCCGGGCCUAACGAAGCUGCCGGGCCUGACGAAGCUGCCGGGCCUGACGAAGCUGUCCGGCCUGAGGGAGAGGCCGCUGAAUUCAGCCCGGACAUCGUCCGGCCUUACCCUAAGGCCGGACCUAGAAAGAUCACAAAGAGAAGAGGGAGAAAGAGGACAACUGCUAUACUUACGGACACCCCGGUGAGGUCUGCUUUAGAGGCGGAAAAGCAGGGAACUGUGAAGCAGCGUUGUCCCGCCAAGCAGCCUCCCUCCUCUCGGGCUCCCAAGAAGAGGCUGUUCUCGCCCGCUCCUGAUGCCGCCCCCCUUGCUGGAGUCACACCUGUUGCCACCUCAGCUGCUCCUCCCACCAUCACCUGGCCCGCUGAUGGAGUCAGCCCCACCUUAGGCCUAGUGUGUCCUGUUCCGGAGGCAGCAGAGUUCACCACUAUUGCUGCCUCUACUUCUCCAAUUUAUUUAGGCCUAUCCAGCGAGGACGUCAGCUGCCUCGUGUGCUGCGAGCUCUUCAGCGCCUCGAUGCCUGGGGAAGAGUGGGUCCAGUGUGUCUUUUGUUACAAGUGGUCGCAUGAGGCUUGCACCGACGGGAGUGCACACAACCUGUGUCACCUGUGUGACAAAGAAUAAAAAUAUUCAGCCUACUAUACUGUCCAUGUGUCUUCACUAGUUUGCAGUGGAAAUACUGUAAAUGUAGGCCUACAGCACAAUUCACUUAACAUUAUAGACUGAUUAACUAACUAACUAUGAGGCCUGGGUUAGGCUAUGAGUGG